UCCAGGGUUGGCCGAUCGGUUUAGGCAACGAACUCAUAAUUCGUCCCAGACAGGUUCAACUCCUGUACCCUGGAU
rnacentral:tRNA from 2 species